GUGGUCAAGCUAAUAAGGGCUUGCGGAGGAUACCUAGGCACACAGAGGCGAAGAAGGACGUGGUUACCAACGAAAAGCUCCGGGGAGUUGGAAGCAAGCAUUGAGCCGGAGGUGUCCGAAUGGGGGAACCCUAAAAACUGCCUAUUGAAUAUAUAGAUAGGUAAGAGCGAACCGGGCGAACUGAAACAUCUUAGUAGCCCGAGGAAAAGAAAUCAAACGAGAUUCUCCAAGUAGUGGUGAGCGAACGGGGAAGAGCCUAAACCAACAAGCUUGCUUGUUGGGGUAGUGGGACAGCAUGAUGCGAAUCGUAGAGUUAGACGAAGCAUUGAAAAGAUGCACCAGAGAAAGUGAAAGUCUUGUAGUCGAAAACUUGAAGAUAGCAGCUGAAUCCCGAGUAGCAUGGGGCACGUGAAAUUCCAUGUGAAUCAGUCUCGACCACGAGAUAAGGCUAAAUACUCCUGUGUGACCGAUAGCGAAACAGUACCGCGAGGGAAAGGUGAAAAGAACCCCAACAAGGGGAGUGAAAAAGAACAUGAAACCGCAAGCCCACAAGCAGUGGGAGGACGAUUAAACGUCUGACCGCGUGCCUGUUGAAGAAUGAGCCGGCGAGUUAUAAGCACUGGUAGGUUAAGUGGAUAGCACGAAGCCAAAGCGAAAGCGAGUCUGAAGAGGGCGCAAAUCAGUGUUUAUAGACCCGAACCCUGGUGAUCUAACCAUGACCAGGAUGAAGCUUGGGUAACACCAAGUGGAGGUCCGCACCGACCGAUGUUGAAAAAUCGGCGGAUGAGUUGUGGUUAGGGGUGAAAUGCCAAUCGAACCAGGAGCUAGCUGGUUCUCCCCGAAAUGUGUUGAGGCGCAGCGGUUGUGAUUAACUCGGGGGGUAAAGCACUAUUUCGGUGCGGGCUGCGAGAGCGGUACCAAAUCGAGAUAAACUCUGAAUACCCGAAGAAGACACAGCCAGUGAGACGGUGGGGGAUAAGCUUCAUCGUCAAGAGGGAAACAGCCCAGACCACCAGCUAAGGUCCCCAAAUCAUCGCUAAGUGGCAAAGGAGGUGGGAGUGCAUAGACAACCAGGAGGUUUGCCUAGAAGCAGCCACCCUUGAAAGAGUGCGUAAUAGCUCACUGGUCAAGCGCUCCUGCGCCGAAAAUGAAUGGGACUAAGCGAUGUACCGAAGCUGUGGGAUUACAUUGUAAUCGGUAGGGGAGCGUUCUAUAUGGGAAGAAGCACUAGCGGCAAGCAGGUGUGGACUGUAUAGAAGUGAGAAUGUCGGCUUGAGUAGCGCAAACAUUGGUGAGAAUCCAAUGCCCCGAAACCCCAAGGGUUCCAGAGCCAGGUUCGUCCACUCUGGGUUAGUCGGGACCUAAGGCGAGGUCGAACGGCGUAGUCGAUGGACACAGGGUCAACAAUCCCUGACUAAAGUAUGGGAGCAUUGCUAGGGACGCAUGAGUGGGGACUACACCCUGACUGGAUUGGGAGGAGUUUACGAACUCCGAGUAGUCGAAAUGAGUGCCAAGAAAAGCUAGUAAUGUGUUGAGCAUACUUUACCCGUACCCGAAACCGACACAGGUGGGGAGGUUGAGAAUACCAAGGGGCGCGAGAUAACUCUCUCUAAGGAACUCGGCAAAAUGGCCCCGUAACUUCGGAAGAAGGGGUGCCCACCUCAACAGGUGGGUCGCAGUGAAGAGAUCCAGGCGACUGUUUACCAAAAACACAGGUCUCCGCAAACUCGUAAGAGCAUGUAUGGGGGCUGACGCCUGCCCAGUGCCGGAAGGUUAAGGAAGUUGGUCAGGGGGCAACCCUAAAGCUGACGACCGAAGCCCCGGUGAACGGCGGCCGUAACUAUAACGGUCCUAAGGUAGCGAAAU
rnacentral:rRNA from 1 species